GAUGAACACUGGCGGCGUGCCUAAUACAUGCAAGUCGAGCGAACGGACGAGGAGCUUGCUUUUCUGAUGUUAGCGGCGGACGGGUGAGUAACACGUGGAUAACCUACCUAUAAGACUGGGAUAACUUCGGGAAACCGGAGCUAAUACCGGAUAAUAUUUUGAACCGCAUGGUUCAAAAGUGAAAGACGGUCUUGCUGUCACUUAUAGAUGGAUCCGCGCUGCAUUAGCUAGUUGGUAAGGUAACGGCUUACCAAGGCAACGAUGCAUAGCCGACCUGAGAGGGUGAUCGGACACACUGCAACUGAGACACGGUCCAGACUCCUACGGGAGGCAGCAGUAGGGAAUCUUCCGCAAUGGGCGAAAGCCUGACGGAGCAACGCCGCGUGAGUGAUGAAGGUCUUCGGAUCGUAAAACUCUGUUAUUAGGGAAGAACAUAUGUGUAAGUAACUGUGCACAUCUUGACGGUACCUAAUCAGAAAGCCACGGCUAACUACGUG
rnacentral:rRNA from 1 species